CUUUUUAAGUCGGAUGUGAAAUCCCCGAGCUUAACUUGGGAAUUGCAUUCGAUACUGGGAAGCUAGAGUAUGGGAGAGGAUGGUAGAAUCCCAGGUGUAGCGGUGAAAUGCGUAGAGAUCUGGAGGAAUACCGAUGGCGAAGGCAGCCAUCUGGCCUAAUACUGACGCUGAGGUACGAAAGCAUGGGGAGCAAACAGGAUUAGAUACCCUGGUAGUCCAUGCCGUAAACGAUGUCUACUAGCCGUUGGGGCCUUUGAGGCUUUAGUGGCGCGGCUAACGCGAUAAGUAGACCGCCUGGGGAGUACGGUCGCAAGACUAAAACUCAAAUGAAUUGACGGGGGCCCGCACAAGCGGUGGAGCAUGUGGUUUAAUUCGAUGCAACGCGAAGAACCUUACCUGGCCUUGACAUACUAGAAACUUUCCAGAGAUGGAUUGGUGCCUUCGGGAAUCUAGAUACAGGUGCUGCAUGGCUGUCGUCAGCUCGUGUCGUGAGAUGUUGGGUUAAGUCCCGCAACGAGCGCAACCCUUUUCCUUACUUGCCAGCAUUUCGGAUGGGAACUUUAAGGAUACUGCCAGUGACAAACUGGAGGAAGGCGGGGACGACGUCAAGUCAUCAUGGCCCUUACGGCCAGGGCUACACACGUGCUACAAUGGUCGGUACAAAGGGUUGCUACACAGCGAUGUGAUGCUAAUCUCAAAAAGCCGAUCGUAGUCCGGAUUGGAGUCUGCAACUCGGCUCCAUGAAGUCGGAAUCGCUAGUAAUCGCGGAUCAGAAUGCCGCGGUGAAUACGUUCCCGGGCCUUGCACUCACCGCCCGUCA
rnacentral:rRNA from 1 species